CUUCAGUGAUGAUAUGAUGACGAGACUGAGCCGAAUCUCUGGUUCUGUGGGCUUCUGGUUCAGAGUCAUGUUUUAUGGUUCUGCUCCAGUUCCUCAGACCAGGCUCUCGUUUAUUUUUGAUGACAUAGAGGCAUUUGUCUGAGAAGG